UACGUAGGGCGCGAGCGUUGUCCGGAAUUAUUGGGCGUAAAGAGCUCGUAGGUGGUUUGUCGCGUUGUUCGUGAAAACUCACAGCUCAACUGUGGGCGUGCGGGCGAUACGGGCAGACUAGAGUACUGCAGGGGAGACUGGAAUUCCUGGUGUAGCGGUGGAAUGCGCAGAUAUCAGGAGGAACACCGGUGGCGAAGGCGGGUCUCUGGGCAGUAACUGACGCUGAGGAGCGAAAGCGUGGGGAGCGAACAGG
rnacentral:rRNA from 1 species